AUUGAACGCUGGCGGCAGGCCUAACACAUGCAAGUCGAGCGAGCGGGGGACGUGUGAGUAAUGUAUGGGGACUGUCCGAGAGAGGGGGAUAACGACUGGAAAAGGUAGCGAAUACAGCAUACUAUCGGAUAACCCAUAUGGGAUUGGCUAGUAGGUGAGGUAAUGGCUCACCUAGGCGACGAUCCCUAGCGGGUCUGAGAGGAUGAUCAGCCACACUGGGACUGAGACACGGCCCAGACUCCUACGGAGGCAGCAUUGGGGAAUAUUGCACAAUGGGCGCAAGCCUGAUGCAGCCAUGCCGCGUGUAUGAAGAAGGCCCUAGGGUUGUAAAGUACUUUCAGUCGGGAGGCGUUACCGACAGAAGAAGCACCGGCUAACUCCGUGCCAGCAGCCGCGGUAAUAC
rnacentral:rRNA from 1 species